UAAUGAAGAAAACUCCGGUGGUAAAAGAUGGGCAUGCGUCCUAUUAGUUAGUUGGUAAGGUAACGGCUUACCAAGACUCCGAUAGGUAGGGGUCCUGAGAGGGAGAUCCCCCACACUGGUACUGAGACACGGACCAGACUCCUACGGGAGGCAGCAGUGAGGAAUAUUGGACAAUGGAGGCAACUCUGAUCCAGCCAUGCCGCGUGCAGGAAGACGGCCCUACGGGUUGUAAACUGCUUUUAUACAGGAAGAACUAUAUCUACGUGUAGAUAUUUGACGGUACUGUACGAAU
rnacentral:rRNA from 1 species